rnacentral:rRNA from 1 species
UGAGGAAUAUUGGUCAAUGGGCGAGAGCCUGAACCAGCCACGUCGCGUGAAGGAAGACUGACCUUACGGUUUGUAAACUUCUUUUGUAGAGGGGUAAUGGCAGAUACGUGUAUUUGCGUGAAAGUACUCUACGAAUAAGCAUCGGCUAACUCCGUGCCAGCAGCCGCGGUAAUACGGGGUAUGCGAGCGUUAUCCGGAAUUAUUGGGUUUAAAGGGUGCGCAGGUGGCUAAUCAGGUCAGUGGUGAAAAGCUAUGGCUCAACCAUGGUCUUGCCAUUGAAACCGUAUAGCUAGAGAGGAGACGAGGUAGGCGGAAUGUGUGGUGUAGCGGUGAAAUGCAUAGAUAUCACACAGAACUCCGAUUGCGAAGGCAGCUUACCAGGCUUUAUCUGACACUUAGGCACGACAGCGUGGGGAUCAAACAGG